GGACUGCCAUGUUGCGUUUGGGUCUCCAAUAAUUUUGGACACAUCCUCGAAUUUCAAUUUUGGCAGCUAUGACCAAGAUAAAGGGCAGACCUUUCUGGGGUGAGCUGUUGUGAUAUGACCGCCUGCGUUUCUGAGGUUAGUAACUGUCCGAAAAGCAGCACCGGAACGUUUCUUGGACCUAAAACCGCUCAGCUGACUCUGAUUUAACUACAUAAAACCACGCCCAGCUGGCUAAACUUCGCCACGUGCAAAUCGCACUCAUCCAGUUUAAAUGACCAUCCAGUUCAGUUAAUGUGCUCAUGAAGCCAAACCAACAUGUUCAAAUGGACAUCCAACCAGAGGAUUUGCCUUGUUCAGCAAUUUAUCCAUGUUUGAAAUAAUACUAUGCUGAUUCGUUGGAGUAAUCAACUUGUGGUUAUGCAGAUGUCUUAUGCAAAAGUUGGCAAUACAGUGGAUCUUGACCGCUCCAACACAGCGGAUGUGCAGACGCAUUGCCUCAGAUAGGGAACAACCGACAACACGGCAUCUAGGUAUGUAUCUAUGAGCAGGAUGCUUGCAUACUGCUAGUGAGUGCUGAUUGGUUGG
ensembl:lncRNA